rnacentral:piRNA from 1 species
CUAACUCCGGGUGGAUUCUGUGC